GUAUUGCACCAAUUAUAAAUUUUAAGUUAGUUCAACUGAUAAUUUGGUACUGCAGUCAAAGCAGAUAAUGACUAGGAAUUGCUAAUUUUACCUCUGAAGCAAAGUUAGGUUCAUAUGUUCUCCGAGCAGCAUACUAUGCGGCCUUUCAUCCCCAUAUUGGUCUUUUUAAUCUAUGUAUUUGGAUGAAGGUGAGCACUGUUGCUUGCUGACUCACACAGCAGGAAUUAGGCGGGUUGUGGCGAACGAGGAACCAAGAGGGGCGGAAACUGUAGCUAUACAACUGCGGAAUUGAUCAAUACGAGCAUGCUUUGUCUAGCCAGGGAGAGCGCCGAGGGUGCUGGUCUGUGGCACCAGAAGAGGUGAACUCUCAACGAGAUACUAAUCAAUGGUGAAGUAUUUAGAUCAGUUCUACAACCAACUCAUGUGCUUAUAACUGUAGCUUUUGUUCAAACCUCAGUUGUAGGUAAGCUACAUUGCCAAGUGCAAAUCCUCAUCUUACUACAGUUUUCAACUUUUCAUUGAUUUUCUAUUUUGGAUUGUAUUUCCAUUUUGGGCCCCAUUUUUGACUGUAGCUUUUGUUCUGACCCCACUUGUACGCAAUGUAAUUUGCAGCCAUGAUGCUACAUUGCCAAUAUUUUAGAAAACUGUAAUUUGCUGCCAUGAUGUUACGCACGUGCAGGUCUAUGGUAGUGGUACGAAUUUGGGGGUACAUCUCCUCGCACUCAGGUGGAAGAAAUUCCUCGCCCUCAAGUCCAACUAAUUCAGGACCUGCAUCUCUGAUAUACCGUGGUUGGUUCCUUCCUCGAUGCCUUCUCUCUUGACAAUCGAUGAAAUACACAACUAGCUUGCACAUAUUUAAGGAGCACGUACAGUUUCAUUGUGUAAAAAAUAGUAGCAGGUGGGUAUUUUAGCAGUUCAGCUAUCUGAAA